rnacentral:lncRNA from 1 species
UAGAUGAUAUGGUUCAGUGAUUUAUUUUAUUUGCAUUCAUAUGGUUUUAUGAAUAUAAUAAAGUUCACGGAAUUUUAUAAAUUAAAUGUGGUUUUCUACCCCUCGUGGUAGCGCGUUUUUUAAAGAAAAAGGUUUCCGUGUAGGAAACGAUUUUUAAAAGGAUUUUCUGGUUUUCCUGGUUAUUAGUAUUUUAAAAUGAGUUUCCGAGUAGGAAACGUUUUAAACUAAUAGAUGUGAACUUAUGAAUAUUUGUGAUGAACUGAAUGUGGAUGUGAAUGGUGUAUGAAUAUGGGUGUUCAUAUGUUGUGGUUGUAUAUUGUACUUGUGCGAUGCCGUGCAAAUAUAGGGGAGGUUUUGUUCGCGUGAACAGUGGACUUCAUGUAUUUGUGGUGGAUUUGGCAUACCCUGGGGGUCAGGAUUUUCAAAAAAAUAAAAUAAAAUUGG